UACAGGGGGGGCAAGCGUUGUCCGGAAUCAUUGGGCGUAAAGCGCGCGUAGGCGGCCCUGUAAGUCCGUUGUGAAAGUCAAAGGCUCACCUUUGAAAGCCGAUGGAUACUGCAGGGCUAGAGUCCGGAAGAGGCGAUGGAAUCCUGGUGUAGCGGUGGAAUGCGCAGAUAUCAGGAGGAACACCAAUAGCGAAGGCAGCUCGCUGGGACGGUACUGACGCUAAGG
rnacentral:rRNA from 1 species